AAUAUAACAAAAGAGGAGAAAAGAAAAACAUAACACUUCUGUAGUUAGAGAUUCAAAAGUAAAAGAGAUUGUUCAAUUACAGACAUAACAAUGUAAGGAUAUUCCAAAUAAAAAUUACAUGUACCUCUGAUCAUAAUACUUACAUAACUGGGUCAAACAUAUUUCGAAUCUUUAAACAUGGUGUCAAACUAUUUGGUGGUGAAUUUCUUCUAUCUAAAUGAAAUGCUACAAAAAACAAAUUAUUGUUACUAUUUGUCACUGUUCCAUUUAGUUCAUUCAAAACAUAUUCAUUGCAUGCUUUUCCUAGGAGCCAGACCCCUGGAUAUUAAGGUAAAUCAAAGAGAGACAAUCAUUGCUAUCAUAGAGUCUGCAGUUUAGUGGGUGAGACAGAUGAGAAACCGUGUCAAAAAAAACCCGUUAUUGUGGCAAAUCUUAAGAAAGAAGAAUACAGGAAGCUGUGAAAGUAACUUAGGUAGUCUGGAAGUAUAGCACUUGAGGAAGUAACAUUUAUGCUGGGACCCAAAAAGUAAUAAAAGUAGACAGAGUGAAGAGAAGUAUAAAGGGCAUUUCAAGCAAAUGUGAUAGCUUAUAUACAGCCCCAGGCAAGAAGGAGCUCAGUGCAGUCAAGUAACUAAAAGACAGCCACUGUGGCUAGAGCAGGAACAAUAGAAAGCUAAACCUUAACAGGGACAGGUCAGAUUAUUGAGAACCAUGAAGAUCACACUAAAGUGUUUAGACAUUGCCGUAAGACCAAUAGAAAGUCACUCAAGUUUUUUUCAAGGAGAGGAAUAAUAUGAUGAGAUCUAUCUUUUAAAAUUAUAAUUUUUAAAAGUAGACUGUUAUGUGGAAAAUCGAUUAGGUGGAAACAAAAGCGAAUGCAAGGAGACCAGUUAGAAAGUUACCAUAGUUGUUUAAGAGAAAGAGGAUACUAACGUGGGUAAGACAGGCCAGCAAUGCAGAUGGAAAUAAGUAGACAGACUCA